UGGGGAAUAUUGCACAAUGGGCGCAAGCCUGAUGCAGCCAUGCCGCGUGUAUGAAGAAGGCCUUCGGGUUGUAAAGUACUUUCAGCGAGGAGGAAGGCAUUGUGGUUAAUAACCGCAGUGAUUGACGUUACUCGCAGAAGAAGCACCGGCUAACUCCGUGCCAGCAGCCGCGGUAAUACGGAGGGUGCAAGCGUUAAUCGGAAUUACUGGGCGUAAAGCGCACGCAGGCGGUCUGUCAAGUCGGAUGUGAAAUCCCCGGGCUCAACCUGGGAACUGCAUUCGAAACUGGCAGGCUAGAGUCUUGUAGAGGGGGGUAGAAUUCCAGGUGUAGCGGUGAAAUGCGUAGAGAUCUGGAGGAAUACCGGUGGCGAAGGCGGCCCCCUGGACAAAGACUGACGCUCAGGUGCGAAAGCGUGGGGAGCAAACA
rnacentral:rRNA from 1 species